rnacentral:rRNA from 1 species
UUAAGCGACUAAGCGUACACGGUGGAUGCCCUGGCAGUCAGAGGCGAUGAAGGACGUGCUAAUCUGCGAUAAGCGUCGGUGAGGUGAUAUGAACCGUUAUAACCGGCGAUUUCCGAAUGGGGAAACCCAGUGUGUUUCGACACACUAUCAUUAACUGAAUCCAUAGGUUAAUGAGGCGAACCGGGGGAACUGAAACAUCUAAGUACCCCGAGGAAAAGAAAUCAACCGAGAUUCCCCCAGUAGCGGCGAGCGAACGGGGAGGAGCCCAGAGCCUGAAUCAGUGUGUGUGUUAGUGGAAGUGUCUGGAAAGGCGCGCGAUACAGGGUGACAGCCCCGUACACAAAAAUGCACAUGCUGUGAGCUCGAUGAGUAGGGCGGGACACGUGGUAUCCUGUCUGAAUAUGGGGGGACCAUCCUCCAAGGCUAAAUACUCCUGACUGACCGAUAGUGAACCAGUACCGUGAGGGAAAGGCGAAAAGAACCCCGGCGAGGGGAGUGAAAAAGAACCUGAAACCGUGUACGUACAAGCAGUGGGAGCCUCUUAAUGGGGUGACUGCGUACCUUUUGUAUAAUGGGUCAGCGACUUAUAUUCUGUAGCAAGGUUAACCGAAUAGGGGAGCCGAAGGGAAACCGAGUCUUAACUGGGCGUUAAGUUGCAGGGUAUAGACCCGAAACCCGGUGAUCUAGCCAUGGGCAGGUUGAAGGUUGGGUAACACUAACUGGAGGACCGAACCGACUAAUGUUGAAAAAUUAGCGGAUGACUUGUGGCUGGGGGUGAAAGGCCAAUCAAACCGGGAGAUAGCUGGUUCUCCCCGAAAGCUAUUUAGGUAGCGCCUCGUGAAUUCAUCUCCGGGGGUAGAGCACUGUUUCGGCAAGGGGGUCAUCCCGACUUACCAACCCGAUGCAAACUGCGAAUACCGGAGAAUGUUAUCACGGGAGACACACGGCGGGUGCUAACGUCCGUCGUGAAGAGGGAAACAACCCAGACCGCCAGCUAAGGUCCCAAAGUCAUGGUUAAGUGGGAAACGAUGUGGGAAGGCCCAGACAGCCAGGAUGUUGGCUUAGAAGCAGCCAUCAUUUAAAGAAAGCGUAAUAGCUCACUGGUCGAGUCGGCCUGCGCGGAAGAUGUAACGGGGCUAAACCAUGCACCGAAGCUGCGGCAGCGACACUGUGUGUUGUUGGGUAGGGGAGCGUUCUGUAAGCCUGCGAAGGUGUGCUGUGAGGCAUGCUGGAGGUAUCAGAAGUGCGAAUGCUGACAUAAGUAACGAUAAAGCGGGUGAAAAGCCCGCUCGCCGGAAGACCAAGGGUUCCUGUCCAACGUUAAUCGGGGCAGGGUGAGUCGACCCCUAAGGCGAGGCCGAAAGGCGUAGUCGAUGGGAAACAGGUUAAUAUUCCUGUACUUGGUGUUACUGCGAAGGGGGGACGGAGAAGGCUAUGUUGGCCGGGCGACGGUUGUCCCGGUUUAAGCGUGUAGGCUGGUUUUCCAGGCAAAUCCGGAAAACCAAGGCUGAGGCGUGAUGACGAGGCACUACGGUGCUGAAGCGACAAAUGCCCUGCUUCCAGGAAAAGCCUCUAAGCAUCAGGUAACAUCAAAUCGUACCCCAAACCGACACAGGUGGUCAGGUAGAGAAUACCAAGGCGCUUGAGAGAACUCGGGUGAAGGAACUAGGCAAAAUGGUGCCGUAACUUCGGGAGAAGGCACGCUGAUAUGUAGGUGAAGCGACUUGCUCGUGGAGCUGAAAUCAGUCGAAGAUACCAGCUGGCUGCAACUGUUUAUUAAAAACACAGCACUGUGCAAACACGAAAGUGGACGUAUACGGUGUGACGCCUGCCCGGUGCCGGAAGGUUAAUUGAUGGGGUUAGCGGCAACGCGAAGCUCUUGAUCGAAGCCCCGGUAAACGGCGGCCGUAACUAUAACGGUCCUAAGGUAGCGAAAUUCCUUGUCGGGUAAGUUCCGACCUGCACGAAUGGCGUAAUGAUGGCCAGGCUGUCUCCACCCGAGACUCAGUGAAAUUGAACUCGCUGUGAAGAUGCAGUGUACCCGCGGCAAGACGGAAAGACCCCGUGAACCUUUACUAUAGCUUGACACUGAACAUUGAGCCUUGAUGUGUAGGAUAGGUGGGAGGCUUUGAAGUGUGGACGCCAGUCUGCAUGGAGCCGACCUUGAAAUACCACCCUUUAAUGUUUGAUGUUCUAACGUUGGCCCCUAAUCGGGGUUGCGGACAGUGUCUGGUGGGUAGUUUGACUGGGGCGGUCUCCUCCUAAAGAGUAACGGAGGAGCACGAAGGUUGGCUAAUCCUGGUCGGACAUCAGGAGGUUAGUGCAAUGGCAUAAGCCAGCUUGACUGCGAGCGUGACGGCGCGAGCAGGUGCGAAAGCAGGUCAUAGUGAUCCGGUGGUUCUGAAUGGAAGGGCCAUCGCUCAACGGAUAAAAGGUACUCCGGGGAUAACAGGCUGAUACCGCCCAAGAGUUCAUAUCGACGGCGGUGUUUGGCACCUCGAUGUCGGCUCAUCACAUCCUGGGGCUGAAGUAGGUCCCAAGGGUAUGGCUGUUCGCCAUUUAAAGUGGUACGCGAGCUGGGUUUAGAACGUCGUGAGACAGUUCGGUCCCUAUCUGCCGUGGGCGCUGGAGAACUGAGGGGGGCUGCUCCUAGUACGAGAGGACCGGAGUGGACGCAUCACUGGUGUUCGGGUUGUCAUGCCAAUGGCACUGCCCGGUAGCUAAAUGCGGAAGAGAUAAGUGCUGAAAGCAUCUAAGCACGAAACUUGCCCCGAGAUGAGUUCUCCCUGAGACUUAGAGUCUCCUGAAGGAACGUUGAAGACGACGACGUUGAUAGGCCGGGUGUGUAAGCGCAGCGAUGCGUUGAGCUAACCGGUACUAAUGAACCGUGAGGCUUAACCUU